GAGCAUACUGGGGUAUGCGACCGGCUGUCUUUAAUGAUAUUUUGUCAGUGGUUUUAACGAAUUUAAUAACAGAAUAAGAAUAGGUUAAGCCCUCGUAAUCGAGCAACAACAUUUUUAAAGGAUGGCUGGUUGUUCAUUAUCUGCAGAAAAUGAAAUAAUUUUGAGGCAAUACUUUAUUGAAAGCAGAUUAGAAAUAGAUUGAGAAAUUAUGGCGAUGCAGUCGAGAUUUCUGCUACAAAAAUUUGGCUAUGAUUUUGAUGAAGAUGGACGACUCCGACAAUUUGAUAUGGUUUCUGGUUUGACUAAUAAAGGUUUUGAAUUUAAAGUUAGUAACAAUGAGGAACAUAAUCAGAAGCGAUAUGAAGAAUUAGGCGAAAUAAUUACUUGCUACGUAUAUGAAUUGCUACAAUUGGAAGGUUUGGAAAAAGUGCCAGUACCAAAGAUCUCUCAGAGUUCAUUAGAAUCCAGAUCAUUUAUAUUUGCAAGUCCAAAUAUUUAUGACUACGACAAAUUGAUAAUAUUGAUUCAUGGUAGUGGUGUUGUCAGGGCUGGACAGUGGGCUAGGCGUUUAAUAAUAAAUGAUAAUAUUUCCACUGGUACACAAAUCCCGUAUAUUAGAAAAGCAAAGGAAUUGAAUUAUGGCAUCUUAGUGCUUAAUACCAAUGACAAUGAAAGAAUUGUUGCAGGAGAAUCGCAUAAAAUUAUAGGUAGUGAAGAUCCUCAUAAGCACGUAGAAACAGUUUGGAAUGAUUAUAUUCGAAAUUGUAAGGCGAAACAUAUUGCUAUUGUUGCACACAGUUAUGGAGGACAGUGUGUGGUUCAAUUUGCAAGAAAAUACGCAGACGAAUUUAAACAGAAAGUUUUUGCAGUAGCUUUAACAGAUGCUUUUCUUACAAAAUCUCAGGAAGGAGCAAAUGUGAUAAAAAUUUUCAGGAACUGGAUCUGUUCGGAUCAACCAUUAGAUACACCUCUUCGUACUGUGAAUGGAGAUAUCGAAUGUGUAUCAGCCGGUCAUACUGUCCACGAAAUGUCAUCGUCUUCUUGUAUGGCAUCAUUGUUUGACUUUAUAGAACAUCGCUAUAAAUAUGUUUCCUAGUGUAACGAUGAGAAUAAUUAUUUAAUCGUAUAUGUAAUACCUGUGCACUCAUGGUGAAAAAGAAAAAUUCGUGCUGACUGGUGCUCGCGGCGCGGGCAAGGCUGAUUGGCCGGUCGCGGGGCGCGACGCAGUGGUGGGGGUAAACUCUCCUGAGGUCUGUUCGCGUUGCAUGCUCCAACAACCAAUACCGUCCUUCUGUUUGCAAUUUGAGUGACGGUAUUGGUCGUUGGGGCAAGCAGGAGCAUGUGGAGCGUGCAACGCGAACAAACUUCUAGGGAUACUCUUCUAGGAUGCGUUCGCAAACGUCACUCGAGUGCACUUCCUCUUCCUCUUCUUCUAUCCUAUUCUUCUUUCCCGUUCACUCAAACGCGAAACGGAAAAACUGCAGUACACCCGGAUGACGUUUCCGAACGCACCCUUGCCGAGAAGGAAAAGUUUGGAGAUUCUUGAUUAUUCCCUAGUAACAUAAUUAGAGCUGAUUCUUUGUCCGCCCAAGGUUUGGCGAAAAUAAAAAUAAUGAGAGAA